GAAGAAGAGAAAGAAAGGAAAGAGAUUUUUGAGAGGAAUACUACUUGGAGCUCAAGUUAUUGAUUCUUAAAUUUCUAUCUAUACUAAGGUGGUGACGAAGAAUUGUAAAAGCUUACCGACUGGCCUAGUCUGUAGCUCGUAUUGAGUGAGUGGAUAUAAAACUUAUUUU